rnacentral:rRNA from 1 species
GGGGUAGGAUUCUUCGGAAUCUGAGACCGGCGCACGGGUGCGUAACGCGUAUGCAAUCUGCCUUUCACAGAGGGAUAGCCCAGAGAAAUUUGGAUUAAUACCUCAUAGCAUUAUAAAAGGGCAUCCUUUUGUAAUUAAAGUCACAACGGUGAAAGAUGAGCAUGCGUCCCAUUAGCUAGUUGGUAAGGUAACGGCUUACCAAGGCUACGAUGGGUAGGGGUCCUGAGAGGGAGAUCCCCCACACUGGUACUGAGACACGGACCAGACUCCUACGGGAGGCAGCAGUGAGGAAUAUUGGUCAAUGGGCGCAAGCCUGAACCAGCCAUGCCGCGUGCAGGAUGACGGUCCUAUGGAUUGUAAACUGCUUUUGUACGGGAAGAAACACUGAUUCGUGAAUCAGCUUGACGGUACCGUAAGAAUAAGGAUCGGCUAACUCCGUGCCAGCAGCCGCGGUAAUACGGAGGAUCCAAGCGUUAUCCGGAAUCAUUGGGUUUAAAGGGUCCGUAGGCGGUCGUGUAAGUCAGUGGUGAAAGCCCAUCGCUCAACGGUGGAACGGCCAUUGAUACUGCAGGACUUGAAUUAUUGGGAAGUAACUAGAAUAUGUAGUGUAGCGGUGAAAUGCUUAGAGAUUACAUGGGAUACCAAUUGCGAAGGCAGGUUGACUACCAAUUGAUUGACGCUGAUGGACGAAAGCGUG